GGGGAUGUAGCUCAGUGGUAGAGUGCUUGCCUAGUAUGCAGAAGCCCUAGGUUAAACCCAUCACCA
rnacentral:tRNA from 1 species